rnacentral:rRNA from 2 species
UAAGUUAAUACCUUGCUGUUUUGACGUUACCAACAGAAUAAGCACCGGCUAACUUCGUGCCAGCAGCCGCGGUAAUACGAAGGGUGCAAGCGUUAAUCGGAAUUACUGGGCGUAAAGCGCGCGUAGGUGGUUAGGUAAGAUGGAUGUGAAAUCCCCGGGCUCAACCUGGGAACUGCAUCCAUAACUGCCUGACUAGAGUACGGUAGAGGGUGGUGGAAUUUCCUGUGUAGCGGUGAAAUGCGUAGAUAUAGGAAGGA